GAUGAACGCUGGCGGCGUGCCUAAUACAUGCAAGUCGAGCGAACAGAUGAGAAGCUUGCUUCUCUGAUGUUAGCGGCGGACGGGUGAGUAACACGUGGGUAACCUACCUAUAAGACUGGGACAACUCCGGGAAACCGGGGCUAAUACCGGAUAAUAUUUUGAACCGCAUGGUUCAAUAGUGAAAGACGGUUUCGGCUGUCACUUAUAGAUGGACCCGCGCCGUGUUAGCUAGUUGGUAAGGUAACGGCUUACCAAGGCGACGAAACGUAGCCGACCUGAGGAGGUGAUCGGCCACACGGGAGCUGAGACACGGUCCAGACUCCUACGAGAGGCAGCAGUAGGGAAUCUUCCGCAAUGGGCGAAAGCCUGACGGAGCAACGCGGCGUGGGUGAUGAAGGUCUUCGGAUCGUAAAACUCUGUUGUUAGGGAAGAACAAAUUUGUUAGUAACUGAACAAGUCUUGACGGUACCUAACCAGAAAGCCACGGCUAAGUACGUGCCAGCCGCCGCAGUAA
rnacentral:rRNA from 1 species